rnacentral:misc_RNA from 1 species
UCGAAUAAACUUGCACAGGUUGUUGCUGGCUCUCCGGGGCAUGUGCACGCCUGUCAUCUUUAUUUCUCCAACUGUGCACAUAUUGUAGACCUGGAGUUUUUGUUCUGAAAUCAUUUUCGAGUUGGGACUGCUGUGCUUCAUUCAGUUGAAGUGGGCUUUUCCUUACAUUUCUGGGUCUAUGUCAUUUCACAACCUCAUUUAGAAUGUCGAACCUAUAAAAGUUAAAUAUA